rnacentral:rRNA from 1 species
UAAGUAGUUAAAAUAUUUUCCUGAGUAGUAUUAGUUAUUUUCUUGAAACUCAAAGAAUUUGGCGGUAUUAUAUUCUUUUCAGAGGAAUCUGUCUCGUUAUUGAUAAUCCGCGUUGUACCUUUCUUGAUUUAUUUCUUGUAUAUCUCCGUUAUAAUGAAUAUCUUUUUAGGGUUAAUUUUCUUGAUUUUUAAUUUAAAAUUAUUUCAGGUCAAGGUGCAGUAUAAUUAAGUGUUGAUGGAUUACUUGUUUAUGGAUUAAUAGUUUAAAUUUUUUUAUGAAAAUGGAUUUGAUAGUAAUUGUUUGAAGAUUGUAAUGGUGAUAUAGUUCUAUAAUAUGU